rnacentral:rRNA from 1 species
GACGAACCGAGCGAACGUUGUUCGGAAUCACUGGGCUUAAAGGGCGCGUAGGCGGAUUCUCAAGUCCGGGGUGAAAUCCCACAGCUCAACUGUGGAACUGCCUCGGAUACUGCGAGUCUCGAGGGUGGCAGGGGUAUGCGGAACUAUCGGUGGAGCGGUGAAAUGCGUUGAUAUCGAUAGGAACUCCGGUGGCGAAGGCGGCAUACUGGUCCACUUCUGACGCUGAGGCGCGAAAGCCAGGGGAGCAAACGGG